CCCUUAGAUGUUCUGGGCCGCACACGCGCUACACUGAAGGAGGCAGCGUGUACUCCUGGAUCGAAAGAUUUGGGUAACCCGCGAAUCUCCUUCGUGCUAGGGAUUGAGGUUUGCAAUUAUCCUUCAUGAACGAGGAAUUCCCAGUAAGUGCCAGUCAUAAGCUUGCGCUGACUACGUCCCUGCCCUUUGUACACACCGCCCGUCGCUACUACCGAUUGAAUGAUUUAGUGAGGACUUCGGACUGGGACCGAUGCGGCUUUCGGGCUGCGUCGGUAUUCUGGAAAGAUGUCCAAACUGUAUCAUUUAGAGGAAGUAAAAGUCGUAACA
rnacentral:rRNA from 1 species